UCGGGACUGGAGUUUGACUCUUUAGCAAAAUAACGAUGCCAUAGAGAUGAAUGCAGCGCCCUAAAUAAAAAAGACCACAAUCGGAGAUCUAUCUCAGUUCUGUCCGAAAUCGAUUCCCUCGAUAUUGGACGCUGAGAUAGUUCUCACAUGU